GAAAUUGUUUAAGCCCCUUGCUUGAGGUCUUAGAAGCCCUCAUGAUCUUGCCUUCAAUGCAACUCAUAGAAGAGAGCACAUAGACAAGUUCAAUAAAAAGUUAAAAUACUUGCUAGAAGGGAAGCAUCAAAGCCUAGCUAGAUUUGUGAGACCUAAAACCACAAGAUGUACUUUGCCCACCUGCUUGUGAUAAGUGUUCAGCCAUCCCCUGGCAACAGCUACCCCAAUGUCCCAGGUGUAACUGUUUGCAGCUUGGGUGCGCAAGGCACAACCAAUCAGGUUUAAUUGCCAAUCUAGAACCUUGCUGUAACUACUAUAAAAACCCCUGCUGAGUUGGAGUCAGGGCUCUCAAUCUUGACCCGCUGGGGCGGUGACGGUUGGGAGUCCCUGCUCGAGCUCGAAUAAAUGACCCUCGUGUAUUUACAUCAGAAUCGGCUCCUUGGUGGUCUUUGGGGACCUCGAAAUCUGGGCACAACAGAUUCUUGAUGUUAUUACUUGGACCUCAUAUAAAUCAUUUUGAAUUUCUUGUUGGGCGCCAAGAUAUUCAUCAUUAUGUCCAAGAAUUGCUGAAUACCUGGGUGUUGGUUUCCUGUCAAGCUUUGGUCAGUGAGGAAGGAACAGUUGGCAGUGAUGUGUUGGCCAUCAGCACACUGACUCCACACUGGCAUGUUCAGAGAACCCUCUGCACUUCUGAACCUGGGUCUGUUCUCAACUGGCGUGGCCUCUCUCGUCAGAGAGCUCAGUGAGGAUUCUAUUUGGACCAUCGCUCUCCCCACUGUUCAGGACACAUUUCAAGAUCAUGGAGAAUGUCUUUUCAUCUGGAGCGGCUGCCCAUUAGCAGAGAGCAUUGGCCUAGAAGCUAUGUUUCCUGACAUUGAGGGAUUCCAGGGUAUGAUCAGCUCUAUAGCCCUAUCCACAAAGGGUACAGUGCUCAUGAGCCCCUGGAGUGAGGAAUGGUGGCCUGUGGUCUGAAAGGGUUCUGUCAGCUCCAGCCUGUUGGGUCUGACUGUUCUUAUUCUGCCCUGGUUGUGCUAAGAACUUAUGUCCACUUAGUAGGGUGGCUAAUCAAAAUCAAGACUAUAAUCUGAAGAGAUGAACAAGAAGCUAUUCAUCAAGGACUCUUUAUUUGGCACUUGGCCUGGAUUCAGAUAGAAUCCAUAAGCCUUAUGGCCGGGGAGGACGGAUCAAAAUGGCAGAGGCCCAGGAAGGUCCUGAAGCUGAGUUCCUGGAGAUCUUCAAUGGGAAGUGCAACUCCACACCCUCCUCGCCCAGACAGAGGCCUCACACAGCGUUGCCUUUUCCUCAUUUUGUCUCUCUAACAUCUUUUCCUGUGUGGGUAGGAGAUGCUAGCUUGACAUCUGCCUGGCCCCUUGUCUUCAGUUUUGCCCAGGAAAGAAAGGGUUAGGGGAAGUUUGACCGGGGAGAGCAAAUCAUUUCAAAAACUCAAACCAACCUGUGUUUGCCUUCCUGACCUCUGGACUAUGUUAAUGUUGUAAGUGGUCAUGAUGUGUGUGUGGAACACUUUUGUUGUUUACUGAAGCAGUUGAGUGAUAAUUGCAGAGAAAGGAGAAAGCGGAAGGCUUUUCCCACAGACCGUAUUGCUUGCUGUCAUGCUCUCGUGCUAAUAUGGGUCCCAGUGUUAGGUCUUGUGAAUCAAGGUGACAGACUCAGGAAGGGAGCCCAGCAGGGAACGAGGGGCGGGAAGAGGCCAGGCGGAGGUGAGGCCUGGACGCCUCCUCGGAGAGGAAAUGGAGCUGGGCCAUUGCAGCCCUGGCUGUCAGGAUCCGCCCAGCACGCAGAGGCUGCGGUGCAGCGGGCUCUCUGCCCACAAGACGGGGUUCAGGCUCUGCCUGCAGCGCAGCCUGCUAUAUAAAGCCAGGGGUGAAACUUCCUUCUAAACUUAAACAUUGAAAUAUUUUCUGCUGCAGCAUGAAGAGGAUGGAGAUAGACCAAAUGAAACAGAUACAAAAAAAUUGGAUUCUAUUUUGCCUCUUAUGCUAAUUUGCCUAUUUCUGUGAGACUGUAGUUCAUUAAAUAUUCCUCAGGCUUGAAGUAUCCAUGUAUUUUUCUUUCACAGUGCAUAUCCCUUACAUGAGCCUUUUGUCACUGCCAGAUAUAGUUGACUUUUUAGCCAUUAAUUUAUUUUUAUUGUCUUGUACACCACGAUGCUUUGAGAUACUUUACAGGUAGUGUCGGCAGGGACUGACUCGAAGACCUCUGAGGAUACCAACAUCUCUGGAGGCUCAAGUCCCUCACACAAAACGGUACAGUGAUUGCAGGUGAUCUAUGCACAUCCUCUUGUAUGUUCCAGAUCAGCUCUAGAUGACUUAGAAUACAUGAUAUCAUGCAAGUGCGAUGUAAGUAGUUGCUAUACUGUAAUGUUUAGGGAGUAAUGAAUGACAAGAAAAAGAAUGGUGCCCGUUCAGCCACUGUACCCCAGUGACAGUGACGAACAAGACACAGGCAGACAGUGCUCAAACAACAAGUCCUGGGAAGCCCGAGGGGCCGUGAAAUGGCAGGAGGCUGAGGCGGGGUGUGCACAUGCAUUUUUUCAUGGGUGAGGGGUCAGUGUAGGGCUUGGUGUGGGAAAUUCCAGUUUUGCUUUUUGAAACUUUCUGGAACACCCCCCUCCACACACCGAUAUUUUGAUUGGUUGAUUCAACCAGUGAGAUCUGAAUGCAGUGAAAUGAUAAUUAACGAAGUCACAGAUCCAUACCUUCCAUACUGUGAGUGGUAAGAGCACCUAAAAUCUAUUCUCCUAGUAAAAUGUCACAUAUAAAACAAUAUUAUUGGGCUGGAGAUUUAGCUCAGAGGUUCCGCCACCUGCCUCGCAAGCACAAGGUCCCGAGUUUGACCCCCAGUACCAAAAAAAAAACCCCUCAAAAAUAAUACUAUUAACUACAUGUUAACUAUUUGCUAUAGUUGUAAUGCUGUACAUUAGAUUUCUAGACAUAUGCAAUCCAUGUUGAAUAAGUCACUCUGUGACUUACCUCUCCCCACCCCCAUCCCCUGGUAACUACCAUUUUACUCUCUGUUUUGAUUUAUUCACAUUUUUUAUAAGAUCCUGCAUAUCAGUGAGAUACAUGAUCUGUCUUUUCUGUGCCUGAUUUAUUUCACUUAGCAUAAUGUCCUCCGGGUUCACUCACAUUGUAGAUGUGAAAUGAAGAUGGGAGCAUUUCCUCCUUUGUUAAAGGCUACUAUUCAUUCCAUCAUAUAUAAAAAUUGUUAACAGCCCAAUAUAUGUAGAAGCCUUCAUCUGUACUGCAAUUGGAAGUCUGGCACAAUUUACAGUCUUGGUAGGUUGCCAGAGACCACAUGUCCUGCAAUAAAGGAUGCUUUCAAUGUGAUAGGAGGGAUGUGGAAGGACUGUCGAUGUCAUGGGUUGGUUGGCACAGCUGCAAAGCCAGCUGGGAUGUCAAAAGGGAUGAGUGGUCAAAUCUGAAUCCACAGGUGGGGAUAGUACUUUUCACAAGCUUCCGGGUGUACCUGUGUACAGUGACACUGAGGACCUCUGAGCUGUGAGUGAGCGGGGAUGGUGUUGCUAUUGACAGAUCUUACAAAGAGGAUGGGCAGGGUAUUGGGUUCUAGAUAAUCUAUCAGUUAGAAAGUGAGCCCCCUGCUCCUGACUGAGGGGACUGCAGCCCCAGUCCCCCAGAGGAAGCGUUAGGGGCAGGGAAGACAGAAGGUCGUGACCUAGCAGGUGUGAAGGUGCUGGAUUCACUGCAGGCUCAUGUCAGCAGCAACACAGCUUAUCCCAGGUUCCUUCUUCUGAAUCAUUUUCCUUCCUUAGGCAUCAUUGGCUCUGGGACUGGAUGAGGUGCAGCUGUAGGUGACUGGGGCAGGGCGGGGCCGAGGGAGGCAGAGGUUGGCAGAAGAAGGAUGACCUUGGAAUUGAUAUGGAGUAGCUUUCUGGUGGAGCACUUUCCAAACUCCUGAAAGAACCCACAAAGAAGGUGAGAUGCUCAAACAUAGUUACAGAAAUAUUGCUACAAAAUACCACAUUAUUGGAUUUGUGAGGCAUCUAGAGAGCAGUCUCUAAGCUUAAGUUUUUGAACAGGUCUGACCAUGCCCAGAAAAACCAUAUGCUGCUAUAAACACAGGUAUGUGUGGAUCCCUGCAGUAUACAGCAAAAUAGAAGAGAGAUAAAUAGGAAGUCAGAGAAGUUCAAAUACUCCCCCAAAUCAUGUAUUCAAUUGU
rnacentral:lncRNA from 1 species